CAAUAGCGUAUAUUUAAGUUGCUGCAGUUAAAAAGCUCGUAGUUGGAUUUCGGGUGGGAAUGGCCGGUCCGCCGUUUCGGUGUGCACUUGCUACGCCCACCUUGCUGCCGGGGACGUGCCCUUGAGUUCACGCUCGGGACACGGAGUCGGCGAGGUUACUUUGAGUAAAUUAGAGUGUUCAAAGCAGGCCUACGCUCUGAAUACAUUAGCAUGGAAUAACACGAUAGGACUCUGGCCUAUCUUGUUGGUCUGUAGGACCGGAGUAAUGAUUAAGAGGGACAGUCGGGGGCACUCGUAUUUCAUUGUCAGAGGUGAAAUUCUUGGAUUUAUGAAAGACGAACUACUGCGAAAGCAUUUGCCAAGGAUGUUUUCAUUAA
rnacentral:rRNA from 1 species